rnacentral:rRNA from 1 species
AUUGAACGUUGGCGGCAGGCUUAACACAUGCAAGUCGAACGAGAAAGCACCUUCGGGUGUGAGUACAGUGGCGGACGGGUGAGUAACGCGUAGGAAUCUACCUGGUAGCGGGGGAUAACUUGGGGAAACCCAAGCUAAUACCGCAUACGCUCUACGGAGGAAAGGGGCCCUCUCUUUGAAGGUCUCACUAUCAGAGGAGCCUGCGUUGGAUUAGCUAGUUGGUGGGGUAAAGGCCCACCAAGGCGACGAUCUAUAGCUGGUCUGAGAGGACGAUCAGCCACACCGGAACUGAGACACGGUCCGGACUCCUACGGGAGGCAGCAGUGGGGAAUCUUGGGCAAUGGGCGAAAGCCUGACCCAGCCAUGCCGCGUGUGUGAAGAAGGCCUUAGGGUUGUAAAGCACUUUCAGCAGCGAAGAAAUGCGACGAGUUAAUACCUCGUUGUCUUGACGUUAACUGCAGAAGAAGCACCGGCUAACUCCG